CUAUUGUCACCCGAUCGCUGCCAAUUCAGCGAUCGGGUUUCGCAGCCCGGAUU
rnacentral:ncRNA from 1 species